UACGGGGGGGGCAAGCGUUGUUCGGAAUUACUGGGCGUAAAGGGCUCGUAGGUGGCCAACUAAGUCAGACGUGAAAUCCCCGGGCUCAACCCGGGAACUGCGUCCGAGACUGGAAGGCUUGAAUCCGGGAGAGGGAUGCGGAAUUCCAGGUGUAGCGGUGAAAUGCGUAGAUAUCUGGAGGAACACCGGUGGCGAAGGCGGCAUCCUGGACCAACACUGACGCUGAGGAGCGAAAGCCAGGGGAGCAAACGGG
rnacentral:rRNA from 1 species